GCGCGAUUAGCUCAGCUGGAUAGAGCGCUGCCCUCCGGAGGCAGAGGUCUGGGGUUCGAAUCCCUAAUCGCGCGCCA
rnacentral:tRNA from 1 species